rnacentral:lncRNA from 1 species
CCUGAAUCCAGUUAAUGAAUCCUCUGUUAUGGCUUGCUGUGACUCACAAGAUGUGCAGUGUUUCUUCUGGUCUCUCCUGCCCUGUUCCAUUUCCUGGUGAAUAUUUAUGCUCUGAAGUUUGGUUGCAGCUGGCUAUGCUGUGCCCUGCAUCAGCCUCCAGAGAGCCUGUGUCACAGGAGAGGAAACCUUUCAGCUGGAGAAGUCAGCCACUGUUCAAGCUUGACCCAGAUUCUGAGGCUUUCAUCUGGAGAGCUUCCUCACUGAUUUUCAGUCUUGGCUGUGUGAGUUUGUCUCCAGACCAGUCUGAGAAUGUAAGAGCUGGGGAAUCAUCUGACUCUUGCUGGAAGCAAGAGCACCCACUGGGAGCUGUUCUGCCAGGUGGGAGAGAAUGGUCAUGGUCAGAGAUUAACCCUGAGCUCAGCUGAGGCCCUGGGCAGUAGGAACCUUGCUGCAUUCACAGUCUGGGCCUGGAGAACAGCCAGGGGCACAGAUGUUUCUGAAGGAUAUAGAACAGACUGAUCUAGUGACUGGAAGGUCCAAAGCUCUUUCUUGAUUUGACCUGAGAUUUGGGAAAUUAGUAGGUUUUAAUCCUUGUGAUCCUGGAAUGCCCAUGGGAUGUGAAAAGAAGCCUGGACCUCUUGAAACACCCUGUACCACAAAAACAACCUUACUGUGAAGGACUGUAUUAAACUACUCGAGAUUUUGUUUGCUGAAUCCUUUAAGAAUGUGAGAGACCAUCAAAUUACUCUAAAUGUUCAUUUGUAGUUUUUAAAAUUUUGAUUUUACUUGUUUGUAAUCCUAUUACCUAUUUGGUGCUCAGUAAAUAAAACAACCUGCAGCUAUUUCCUUUGACUUGCUGUAAAGCUUGCCAAAGCUGUAACUUAAUACCAAGGCAUCCCAGCACUGUGGACGUGUUGAUCCUCUGACAGCCAGUGAGUUCCUCUGGGCUAACCAGGGGGUUAUAAAACACAUCUUAACCUGCAGCUAUUCAGCAGAAAUCUUUCCUUACCUGAUAUUAGCCAGGAAAUCCCUCUGGCCUGCCCUGGAGGGGAGGGGUCCCUGAAGUCCAUGGGCAGCCAGAGAGGUUUUGAUGGCUGUAUUCUGUAAACACAGCACCUUCUCCACCAGUCAUUAUCCUGCCCUCCCUACUCUCCCAAAUAUCUAAUGUGUAAAAGAAAGCCACAAUUGCAAGGUCAAACUUUCAAAUUCCAAGCUGCUGCUUCUGAGUGCUGUUGAGUUGACCAAAAGGUAUUUCAGAAGUGCCAUAGAUCUCCAAGAUCAAUCCAACAAACUGGAGAUUGGGCAGACCUAUGAUGCCCUCAGAGAAACAGAGAAUGUUGGAGGUCAAAGGUUUGGAUUACAGGAUGAGGAAGUUAAAGCUCCAUGUCUGAGUCAUGAUCUUUUGUUUGGCUCUUCUGAGAAGGGGAUUUUUGUGUGCUUUUAGAAGAGAAAUUGUUCUGCUUUUAAAGUAAUUGCCUUUGAUUUCAAAUGAAGGAAAGUAAGUAUAAAAAAGGAAUGUUUGUCC